rnacentral:lncRNA from 1 species
AUGGCAGGCAGAGACGCCGCUCGCCCUGCGAAGGGAAAGGCGGCCAGGGCGGCACGGAGAGGAGGAGUGAGAGGAGAGGAAGGCUGCAGCGAGGGCUCUCCGGGGCCGAGGGGCUGCGCAGCCUGGCCCGUUGCCCGGGGGCUGCGAGCUAAUGGCUUUGGCAGCUGCGAAAAGUCAAGUCCGGAUUUCCUCGAGGGGGGGCGGAGGGAGCCGACCGCUCCGCGCCGCGGCGCCAGCCCUGCUUGCGGGGCGUCAGCUCUCCUCGCGGCGCCAGGAGCCUCCGAGGCUCUGCCACCGCGUUCCCUGCUGCUGCCGCCGUCCUGCAUCCCACUGGCAUCCCUGCAUCCCGCCGGCAUCCCCAUCGCCUGGGCACCGCUCGCAGGCGCCCUCCGCCAGGCCCCGCGUAGCCGAUCCGGUCCGGCUCGGCGCCGCCGUGCAGCCAGGCAAGCCUCCUUCUGCACGUGGUCUGCGCGUCCCUCUCUCGCUCUUCCUCUUCCAGUUCAUCUCUUCCCAGCGGCUUUCGCUCCCUGCAAAGCCGAGCCGCCGCCGUCCGCCCCGCUCCUGCCCGCGCCGCGCGGGUGCAGGGUGCAGCGUGCCUGCCCGCCGUGCAGAGCCGCGCACGCCGCCGAGCCCGGGGACGGGGCGAUGGCGCUGCCGCCCUCCUGCACCCCGGACACCGCUCCCAUGUGUCCCGCACGGCAGCCGGCCGCGGAAAUCCCCAGCACGCGUCGGGCCGGCCUUAUCUCCGCGGGCACGAGCGGUGGCAGACCUGCCAGCGAGAGCCGCGCGGCUCCGGCCCGCCGGAGAUUGGAGGUUGUCAUGGGGAGAGAGGCUGCCGAUUUGGGCGGUGGCUCUCUGCUUGCUCCAGAUAAGGCGUCCCCGUGUCCCCCGGCUGUGCCGGCGGGCUGGGAGCGCUGCCAGGGCUGGCCGGCCCCCCCUCCGCCUCCCUCUGCCGCCCCUCGCGCUCCCUCUCGGCACCUUUCCCGGCCGCUCGCCCUCUUGCAGACCCCUUCGCUCCUGCUCGCUUGCCUUCCUCAUCAGCAUUCGCGUCCACCCGUCCCCGCACCCACCCUCCCGCCAGCCUCUGCCACUUCCUCUGCCUCCUGCGAUCUGCUAUCUCAUCCAUCUGCUCGCCUCCGCCUGCGUCCGCCCGUGCCCGCGCCCGGCCCCGCCGCCGCUCCCACCCCUCUCCGGCGUGCAGAGGCAGCACCCGAGCCCCAGCCUGGUGUUAGCGCCCAGAGGGAUGUGGAGCCACAGAGGCAGCGGACCCUGUGA